CUGGCGGGCAGCCGACACUUCUGAAAUGAGAGGCACAGGCGUGGUGCCUACCGAUCUGCCCAGGGCUGCACGUCUGCCCCUGGGGACUACUUGCCGGCUGUGUUCAUUGCCCAAACGCGGGUUUGGAGGAGGAAGUGGGGCACCAUGACGCGGCCCGAACUGUUCUCACAGAGCCCAAAGCCACGGCCCCUUCCCGCCCCUGGACCUCCCUGGCAUCCCAG
rnacentral:lncRNA from 1 species